CGCAGACAUCCCCACUCUUCCGGGGAGAAGUACACCGCCACGUCCGCGAGCCUCACGGCCCUCGGCCUCCCUCCCUCUUCUGUCAGGGCCGGCCUCCCCAGGUACAUCUCGGGGAGCGAACCCCGGGACAGAGUCUUGGGCUUCCCGGCUCCCGGAAGGUGGGCGACCGGAAGUAGUUCCGGGUGGGGCCGCUCUAGGACGUCAUAAAAAUGGCCUGUUGGGCGCACUCAGUGGCCGGGGACUGAGGAAAAUGAAGGCGGUUUCAGAAAAGAUGGCGGCACGCUGCCUUCAUCCCAUUUUAGGGAAAGGCCUAUAAAAGUCUGAAAGUUGGUGGGUUUGAUGACCUGGCUUGUUUCGUGGAGAAGUCUUCUCUUGCGCUUCCGCAAGCGACUUUGGCAGAGCCUCUUGCCCAUAGUUAAGAUGGCCGCGGCCGCUUCGGAGUCCAGGCAUGUUCCAGAAAAGCAGCAUGAAGACUUCAAAUGGAACGGGAUUCUCAAGUUACAAGGUGAUGAUUGUGUUAAAGAUUAGCUGGUAUGGUUGAAUUAUAUGUGUGGAACAUCAAUCCACCUAAGUGCUAAAGACAAGAAGGAAAAUCUCUUCUGGCAUCCAGCACUGCAGCCUGGUACAGUGAAAAAAGCACGGACUGGGAAAUCACAAGGUUUGGAUUCCAGGGCCACCUCUGCCACUAACUUGCUCUGUGACUUUACCAUCCCCUCUCUGGGAGUCAGCCCUCCUCAGGGUGUAUUCUGGGAACAGUAUUCCCAUGAGAUACUUUGUGGGAAAAACAAGCAUUCUUCCCCAUGCCCCUUGGAGAGUCCUGUUUAGUAUAAUGAAGGUUCAGGCCAUUUCUACGAUAAAGAAAUGUAUUUCAUCCACUGCUUCCCCAAACUCUGCUUAAAACAUUGAGCCAACAGCUCCAAGCUCCCUUCCAGCUCUAAAUGCUGCAGUCCAUGCUAUCAUAACCCCCAGUGCCACCCCAGGAACCCACUCCUUCAUCCUCCUCCUCAUCACUCAGGCCCAAACCUAAUCAUUCCAUCGGCCCAGCCCAGGAGCCGGCCCUUUCCAUUCAACUUCCAGAGUUUACCUGAAUCCAUCUGCUACUGUCCAUCUCUCCUCUGCUUCCACACUCCCCAGUUCCUUCUCAGAACAGUCAGAGUGGAUUUUUAAUGUAAAUCAGAUUGCCUCAACUCUGCUUAAAACCUCCCAGUAGCUUCCCAUUAUAUUUAGAGUCAAAUUCGUACUUGGCAAGUAAGAGCCUCCUUGACCUGCUCCUCUUUUCCAGCACAUUUGUAACUCCUUUCCAGUCAGUUCCUCCAAUUCAGCCACAAGUGUUCUUUCUGUAUCUCACCCCUGUCAAACCCAUCCCUGCCUCAGAGCAUUGCACUUGCUAUUCCCUUGGUCUGGGAAACCACCCCAUUCCCUGUCCCCCCUGCUCCCUCCUCUGUCCCUGCUUCCCUGCUUUCCCUGUGGUUCCUUCUCAUAACUUAGAUCUCAGCUCAGAUGUCUCCUCCUCACCAAGACCUAGCCUAAGUAUCCAUCUGCCAGGUACUCUCAGCCUUUGUAAUGCUUAUUGUUUGCAGUUACAGUACCUUGUUUUGUUUGUAUAUUGGUUUAUCGCUGGUCUCUCCCUGCCCCACUAGAAGAUCAGCUCCAAGAGAGUUGUGUGUCUGUUUUCCCUGCUAUUUCCUGGCACGUAGAAUAGUACCUAGUACAUAGGAAAUGCUUAGUAAAUUUUUGUUAAACAAAUGAAUGAAAAAGAGAGAAAGAACAAACGGUACUUUCUCUGUGCUUCAGCGCCAGUGCUGAGCAAAACAGCCUGUGUUGAUGGAGGGCGCCUGGCGCUGCACUUCCCCCUUUGGCUGUGCUCCUCCCUCCUGCUCUUCCUUCUUUUCAGAUUCACCCCUCCCAGUACUGGUGAUCCUUGGCCCUUGCCCCCUCCUAUUCCUGACUACUCUUCAGCUCCAGCUCUCCACACUUGAGGUCUCUGGGUCUUGCUCACAGAUCAUAUUGCCAGUCGCUCUCUGGGUCUUGCUCACAGAUCAUAUUGCCAGUCGCUGAGCCACACACAUUCUAUGGCAGAAGCUGCUCAUGAGUAUCUUUCUUCCCGUUUCCAAGGUCACUACCCUUGGUUUCAGCUCCUCAUGACCUCCGGUCUGUUGAAAUCCUUCUCAUCCUUCAGGGCCAGUUUGAGCAGUCUUCUCCAGGAAACCCUUCUUGAUUCAGAAGAUCUCCCCAGAUCAUUUAUUAUUAUUAUUAUUAUUAUUAUUAUUAUUAGAAUGACAACAAUAACCAAUGUUUAUUGAAUGCAGUAUCCAAGGCAGUCUUUUGUAUUAUCUCAUUUAAUCCUUCCAUCAAUCUUAUGAAACUAUUAUUAUCCAGGUUUUACAGGUGAGGAAACAGGUGCAGAGAAGUGAAGUGACUUGCCAAGAUGGCACAGCUAAAACACAAGUGAGUCAGGAUCUGCACCCAGAGGAUCUAACUCCAGAGCUCUUAACCCUACUCUACUUGUGUCUGUCUUUCAUCCUUUCUAUGAAAAAUGCUCCCCUGCUGCUCCUGCUUGUACAUCUCCCCCAACCCCAGUUUCUACUUAGGCUCUGGGAACCAUGGCUGUGUCCUCCAAGCAGUACUUUCCAGUCUAUCACCAGCCAGGCUGGGCCAGGUGAUGCCUCUGGGCUUCCUCUGUCAUGGCCCCAUCGCUCUCUCCCCACGUGGAAUGUGGGACCUGAGUCAGCUGUAUUCUGGAGGCCUCACGUGGUGUUUGAAUAAAUGAAUGAACAGAUGAAUGAAUGAAUGAAUGGGGUCAGAGCCAGGGUUUCCUCAUCAUGGAAUUCCCUCACCACCUAGCACAAUCCUUCAAACAGAAGGCACCCUAU